rnacentral:rRNA from 1 species
CCAUGAAGUUGGAUUCGCUAGUAAUCGCGCAUCAGCCAUGGCGCGGUGAAUACGUUCCCGGGCCCUUGUACACACCGCCCGUCAAGCCAUGGGAGCCGGGGGCGCCUGAAGUCCGGGACCGCGAGGACCGGCCUAGGGCGAAACUGGUAACUGGGGCUAAGUCGUAACAAGGUACC